GACGAACGCUGGCGGCGCGCUUAACACAUGCAAGUCGAACGGAAAGGCCUGCUUUCCCUUGUGGAUUGCGGGUACUCGAGUGGCGAACGGGUGAGUAACACGUGAGUGAUCUGCCCCCAACUUGGGUAUAAGCCUGGGAAACUGGGUCUAAUUCCCGAUAGGACUGCAGGGUGGUGCCUGUGGUGGAAAACGAUUUUCUAGUGGUUGGGGAUGAGCUCGCGGCCUAUCAGCUUGUUGGUGGGGUAAUGGCCUACCAAGGCGGCGACGGGUAGCCGGCCUGGGAGGGGGGACGGUCACAUUGGGACUGAGAUACGGCCCAGACGGCUACGGGAGGCAGCAGUGGGGAAUAUUGGACAAUGGGCGGAAGCCAGAUGCAGCGACGCCGCGUGGGGGAUGACGGCCUUCGGGUUGUAAACUCCUUUCGACCGCGAGGAAGCCACCUGGUUGGAAGGGUGGUGACGGUAGUGGUAGAAGAAGCACCGGCUAAUUACGUG
rnacentral:rRNA from 1 species